CCUACGGGGGGCAGCAGUGGGGAAUAUUGCACAAUGGGGGAAACCCUGAUGCAGCAACGCCGCGUGAGUGAAGAAGUAUUUCGGUAUGUAAAGCUCUAUCAGCAGGGAAGAAGAUGACGGUACCUGAGUAAGAAGCCCCGGCUAACUACGUGCCAGCAGCCGCGGUAAUACGUCGGGGGCAAGCGUUAUCCGGAUUUACUGGGUGGAAAGGGAGCGCAGACGGCAGUGCAAGUCUGGAGUGAAAGCCCGGGGCCCCACCCCGGAACUGCUCGGGAAACUGUGCGGCUAGAGUACUGGAGGGGCAGGCGGACUUCCUCGUGUAGCGGUGACCUGCGUCGAUAUUAGGAGG
rnacentral:rRNA from 1 species